CCUCUUUGUUCCUUCAUCCAAUCUUGAUACUGUUGGUGUAGGAGCCUUGUCCCCUGCUGCUCCUUGCAUGGCCUCCCUGAAUUUCUCACUGCUGCUUUGACCUGCCAUCAGAACUUGAACCACCUUGGAUCUCAUCCGCUUAUUUCACAGCAGAUGUUGGUCUGGAGGAGGGAGUUGAAGGAAAAGUGGCUCUAAAGAUGAACGCCCCAAUUCAGGAAAGCACUUAAGCACUUGCUGACAGGACUGGAAGUGAGAGGAACUGAAACAACACAACCGAAUUUGUCCUCACAGUAUUUUCAGAAAUUGCACUAACAUGAGUAGUCAUAUGCUCAAUAUGUAAAAAGAAUUGCACCACAGCUUAUUAAGAAGAAUUUUUUUCAAGAUCUACCUGCUAUAUAUAUAUUCAGUUGUGUAACCAACGCAGAAUCAUCUUGAGAACAAACAUUCUGUCCUGAUGCGAGAGCCCUCGGGUCAUGUGAAAUGAAGACAAGUGGAAAGAAAAGCACAGGAAAGCAUGAGUUGGAGCUUCCCUCUGCAUUGUACUGCAAGGCAGAGGCAUGUACAAUGACUUCCAGCCAAACAUCACCUGUUGCUUUUCGCAAGGACUAGUUUGUUUCUUCAUUUUCUUCUCUUUAGUAGUGACAAGCAUAUCCUGUCAGACACUUUCCAACAAACAUGACCAUAUACAGAGAGAGAAAUGUGCCCAUCUUAAUCCUGGCACAUCUCUCCUCGAGAAUCAGUGGAAAUACAGGCCCUGUGCAACAAGAACUACAGAGGCACUUCCUCUCCUUGAUCCAUCCAUGUCCCCUUUGGACACUAAAUCCAUGCAGAUUAUUUGUUCUCUUAGUAUGGAUAAUCUGCAUUGGGGAGUCUGUUAACCAAAAGAUGGGGGUACAAUAGCAGUGUUUUGCAUCACAUGUGUGUUGGUUUGGGAGUGGUAUUUCUGUCGUGAGCCUGUAUUUGGUUCAUGAUGGGCCUUUGAACCACUGAAAUCUCUCAUUUGCAAUUUAGAACUAAUACAAUUAUUAUUUAUGUUUUGUAUUAUCAUUGUGCCUAGGAGGCCUAAUCGUGGACUAGAGAACCCACUGUGCUAAGAGCUGUACAGACGCAGAACAAAAAGAUAGUCCCUGCCCCAAAGGGUUUAAAAUCUACAUAUACGACCAUAGACAACAGAUGGAUACAGAGAGAUGCAGGAACACAAGGAAACAAUAAGACAGCAUGGUGGACAGUGAUGUAUUAUGUUAGCACCCAGAGACCCCCAACCGAGAUUGGGGACCUGUUAUGCCCAACUGACAAAUAUGCAGAGAUAAUCCUUGCUCAGAAGACCUUACAGUACAAAUAGACAGGAGAGAUAAAAGGUGAAAUAAAUAAAAUAUUAUUAUUACCAUUUUACAGAGGCAUAGAUCUUGUCCAAAGUCACACAGGAAGUCAGUGGCAGAGCCAGGAACUGAACCCAAAUAUUUUGAGUCCCUGUCUAGUGACUUAAACAAAAGAUAAUUGUUUUAGUUUCUCCUGCGACCAAAAAUCAUCAGGACGUCAAUGGAAAGUAUGAGUUCAGAAUCAAAACCCUGUAGUGGGUUCAUUCUAUGGAAGUGUUAGAGGUGCCAAAUGCAAGUGCUGCUCCCCAAUCCAGAUGGUAAAGAGAGAAAUGUCGUCAUACUGGGGACUUUUAUUUGAUGGACCAAAAAACAACCACCACCACCCCACCCCCCAAAACCCCAACAAACCAAAAACCACCAAGUGAAAGUGCUACCCUGUCAGACCCAGAGAAAGUGAUCUGCAAAAGGCAGAGGGCUGAUUGCCCACAACUCUAGCUGAAAUCAGUGGGAGCUGCUCUGCACCUCUGAAAAUCAUUUUGAGAUACAUUUUAUCCCUUAAUCGUUUUGAGAUAAUGUUUCUCCAUUGCCAGGCUCUAAUCGGUUGGACAAAGUUAAAGGAAAUUAGUUUAGCUGAUUUAUUGUGUAAUUUGUGCUGUGUAUAGGCUUUUUGUUCAGAAUGGAAGUGUCAGUGGUCUGCAGUAUGCAGUACCCCUGCAUUACUGCUUUGAUAAUGCUACGGGUGAUCUGAACUUGCUACCCAGGUAGGGGCAGGGUGCUCAGAACAAGCCUCGUCAAAGAACAAAACUCAAAAGUGUCUCUCGCAAGGAGAGAAGGGAAGAGGAAAGACAUAGAUUGGGAACCCUAGCAGCAUUUUAACCCCCACAACAGGUGACGUAAGCAUGUGCAAUAAGACACUCCCAGAAAACUCUUCUCCCUAUCCAGAAAGCUUUAUGGAGACUCCGUUGCUGAUACUGACAUGUGGAUGGAAGUGUAUCUGUUAUUAAUAUUAGAUAUAUCUAUUUGUGUAGGUCUGUUCCAUCUACCUGGAAAGGUUCCAAAGAGCAGUACUGGGUAAAUAUGCAUCUACCCCCAAGCUUUUCUCAUGCAGAGUCCAUUGGGUAUGUAGCCUGCCACCCCUCCUGUUCAUUGGGCAUUUUGGAGUUGCCGAGGGAGGUAGUGCUGUAAUUUGGGCAGCAGGACCAGCUGUAGACAGGUGACAACUCUGUUCCAAGCCUUGUCUUCACUGAACCUCGAUAGGGCAGCAUCUCUGCUUUCCUAGUGUCCAGCCCAGCUAGUGGUUGGGAUGAGAACAUGUUGGGUUGAAGCUUGCAGCAUUAGCUCCUAAGUUGCUGGAACUUCUCACUGUGAUUUCCUUUAGCUUCUGGUGCAUGUUUGUUUUUAAGUUGAAUCAAAGACAGUUGGGUGGGGACCCAUUUGCAGACUAAUUUUCCUUCUUAUUCUGCUGGUUAUUAAAUCAGCUUAGCUUUUCUUUCAAUUCUGUAGUCCAUAUUCCUGAAUAAAGAACACAUAUCAGAAGAAAACUAUUGAAUCAGUUAAUAAUUAAACAAUGACAACUUGAAAUACACCCACAUAAGAGCUACCUGAUAUCACAUGUCUUACAUAUUCGAUAAUUGUACAGCGGAGCUUUGUUUAAUGAGUGGUGAUACUUAAAAAUAUUCAUGUUGGGAAUUGUUGUGAAAGGUAUUUUUUUAAUGAAUGGAUGUAUGAUCACUCAGGCUCUUAUAUCACAUCCUUUCCCACACAGGUUCUUGCAUACUUCUGCCAAAAGUGUUAGCUAUUUACUUUUCCUCUUGUUUUCACUCCAGCAGCGAGUGACUAAUCUUUAAAAUGACUCUGAAAAAAUGGUAUUGCGGAGUUCGCUGUUUGUCAUGUGACAAUGGUAAGGAAUCACAAAAAGAGAGUAAUUUUCCUCUAAUACUGAACAAGGAACUUUAUUUGAAUGAGGAAAAGAGAAUUACCCCGUAAUCUACACUUUUUCUCACCCACUUGCUGUGUAUUUUCCCUCUAGAAUUUUCCCAGACUCUCACCUCUCGAGCUUCCUGCCACAGUUUUAAAGGCUUUACUGUGACCUUCAGAGCACAGCUGCUUCGUUUGCAAGAAAAAGAUGGUUUUGUGUUGUUUUUUUCCCCCAUAGCUGGCAGCUUCACAAACUCAACUUGGGGACAGGUGGAUGGUGUAAAACAAUCUCCAAACUUGAGUCUACGGUUUUUUGCAAAAUAUUUAAGCAUAAAAAUCCCAGACUGCAUGCAAGUCCCUACACGCACUAACAUUUUACACACAAAAUCAAGAGUGCAAAUUUUAUGUCUCUUUAACAUCUAUGUAACAUCUAGUUUAUGCUCUAGCACAUCAGGCCACUGGUUCUGAUGAAAAUUUGAAUGGACAAAACAUAGAAUCUGGGGCCAUCCUCUGAUACUAUUGCUUUGAGUGACAAUUUACUCCAUGAAUGGUCCCAUUAAGUAAGGGGAUCAGAAUCUGGAAUCAGCUUUGUAAUUAAUUGAGAAUUCCUUUUCUUUUCCCCUUCUUUUUAAUAGCGUCUUUCAUAUUAUAUGCAAAUUAUUUUUGUUUGUGGGGAUUCAGUUUUAUUCCCAACUCUGCCACUGACUGGUUCAUUUUCCUUACCUGUACAAUGAGAAUGUGCAAAGGAAGGAAAGUAUCAGUGCUUUGAGAGCUCUGGAGGGGGAGCGUUACAUAAGAGCGAAAUACUAUUAUUAAUGAUCUCUGGUAGGUUGAGGGGUCAGGAUUACUUCUGUUCUAAGGGCUAUUCUACUUCUAUGCUUAUUUUGCUUUAACGUAUAAGUGAACGUGACUGAGUCCAGCUAAUGUAUUAGUCUUUUUAUUUUUUUUAAACUUAAUAAAAUGGGGGAAAAAAUUAAAGUUUGCAAGUCAUAAUUGUCUCCAAUUCACUCUUUCUUUCUUUCUCCGCUGCUUACCUCACCCUUUGUUGGCCCAGGGAGAUCUGGAUUUAAACCCUUUAGCCAUAUGCAUUCCUCUCCUUCUCUGUCUAAUGUGUGUAAACACACCUGGUUACUUC